AGAUCAGGCAAGGCUACCCGCUGUAUUUAAGCAUAUUAAUAAGCGGAGGAAAAGAAACUAACAGGAUCCCCUAGUAAUGGCGAAUGAAGCGGA
rnacentral:rRNA from 1 species